UAAGAUGUUCUCGUACCUGGAUUUUGAUUACAUCCUUUCUUCAACAGAACAACUCACAUGAAGCUUUUUAAACCUUACCACGGCUCUGUCAGGCGGCCCAGGGCCCUGGAUGAGAGUAUUUUUAUGACAAAGGAUCGAUCCUUGUGAUGCAGUGGAAAGUUCUCUCUUAUCUGUUAACUUAAAAGAUUCAGAAUUGGGUGUCAAAGAUUUCCAUUUCCAUUUCUAAUAUUCCAGCUUCAAGCUUGGGGUGGUGAGAAAUUUGAACAGUUUCUACCAGGUAGAGACUCGUGGAAGACAAAAAGUACACAAUGAUUGUGUCUAUAGUUUCUGCGUAUGUUUCUCAUUGUCCGGUAGUGCAAUUAUGUAUAGAGCUGUGCCAGCAAGUCCAUCGGAGGCGGAUCAUGUUUAUUGUUGAAAAGGAAUAACUAUAUGAUAUACUUAAGAGUCUACAUCUGUACUCUGUACUCCGUACAGAUGUAAAUCUACCAUCAGACAAAUUUUAUUAGGGCUAAUGGCCUGUUCGGUGUGGCCGUGUGUACUCGUUCUUUUUGUACGGAUCUCCACUUUUUUAAAAAGUACAGCUCAAUAUGACAACUGUUUGGUGGGCAGAGCAGCUGUACUAAUAUUACAGCUUCUUUUUGCAAAGUAUGGAUGAAAAAGAUCAGAUGUUCGGUGAAUUGAGUGGCUGUACUCACAUGUUUCACCAAGAUCAUAUGAAUAAGCAGUAUUUAACUUCAACAGUGUGUGACAAUGUAGAAUAGUGUAAAAUAGCAUUCAUAGUGAAGAUAGUUAACUAAUAUUGAUUAGAAAGAAGAUUGUCAGUGA
rnacentral:sRNA from 1 species